rnacentral:rRNA from 1 species
UACGGGGGGAGCAAGCGUUGUUCGGAUUUACUGGGCGUAAAGGGCGCGUAGGCGGCCACCGCAAGUCGACUGUGAAAUCUCCGGGCUUAACCCGGAAAGGUCAGCCGAUACUGCGGGGCUAGAGUGCAGAAGGGGCAACUGGAAUUCUCGGUGUAGCGGUGAAAUGCGCAGAUAUCAGGAGGAACACCGGUGGCGAAGGCGGGUCUCUGGGCCGAUACUGACGCUGAGGAGCGAAAGCGUGGGGAGCGAACAGG